rnacentral:rRNA from 1 species
CUACAAUGGCAUCUACAGUGGGCAGCUAUUCCGCCAAGGAGUGCGCUAAUCUACCAAAAGAUGUCUCAGUUCGGAUUGUCCUCUGCAACUCGAGGGCAUGAAGGCGGAAUCGCUAGUAAUCGCGGAUCAGCACGCCGCGGUCGAAUACGUUCCCGGGCCUU